rnacentral:lncRNA from 1 species
CAAGAAAAACCUCUUCUUUUAUCUAUAGAAAACAAAUGAUGUUGGCGUAAAUGUACCUCGUCCUUUUUGGAGUUUGAUUCGCUUUGAAACUCAUAUAGGUGGUGUUUGUCGUGUUUCCUUCACCUACCACUCAACACCAACCUUGAAAAGCUUUUAGGAAUUUUACACAAAUUCAAGCCUAACCCUUCUGAAAAAAACCUGCAACUUUUCCAGAAAAACCUCUUCUUUUAUUUAUAGAAAACAAAUGAUGUUGGCGUAAAUGUACCUCGUCCUUUUUGGAGUUUGAUUCGCUUUGAAACUCAUAUAGGUGGUGUUUGUCGUGUUUCCUUCACCUACCACUCAACACCAACCUUGAAAAGCUUUUAGGAAUUUUACACAAAUUCAAGCCUAACCCUUUUGAAAAAAACCUGCAACUUUUCCUUGACCAAGCAAGAUACUUUGUGAACAAACUUUUCGAAGGCCUAGUUGAAUU